UGACCAGACUCCUACGGGAGGCAGCAGUGGGGAAUAUUGCACAAUGGGGGAAACCCUGAUGCAGCGACGCCGCGUGAAGGAAGAAGUAUUUCGGUAUGUAAACUUCUAUCAGCAGGGAAGAAAAUGACGGUACCUGACUAAGAAGCCCCGGCUAACUACGUGCCAGCAGCCGCGGUAAUACGUAGGGGGCAAGCGUUAUCCGGAUUUACUGGGUGUAAAGGGAGCGUAGGCGGCGAUGCAAGUCAGAAGUGAAAGCCCGGGGCUCAACUCCGGGACUGCUUUUGAAACUGUGUUGCUAGAGUGCAGGAGAGGUAAGUGGAAUUCCUAGUGUAGCGGUGAAAUGCGUAGAUAUUAGGAGGAACACCAGUGGCGAAGGCGUCUUACUGGACCGAAACUGACGUUGAGGCUCGAAAGCGUGGGGAGCAAACAGGAUUAGAUACCCCCGUAAA
rnacentral:rRNA from 1 species